rnacentral:rRNA from 1 species
UGCCCUCUCUUCCGCCCAACCCCCCAACCCCAAUCCCAACCGCGGUACCUUGACCCCAAAUUUCCCAAACCCCUGCGCCUUAGCCUCGCGCCUGCGCUCUCCUGCGCCGCCCCCCUCGCCGCCGUCCCUGACGGCGUCGCCAUAGACGAUAUCAUAGAGAAGGACUGGUCCUUCCUCAACGCGUCCGGCUCCCACCUCCCCCGCGCGCUCGCCGCGGGGGCGCUCUCGCCGGCGUCGCGCGUGCUGGCCGUGACGCCCACCGCGUCCUUCGUGAGCGCCCUCCUCUCCGAGUCCCCCUGCGAGCUCCUGGUCGCAGCGCACGAGUCGCUGUACGUGCUGGGCGGGAUCAAGGAGGAGCACGACCAGGUGAGGUGCUUCCAUUUGGAGGGAGGGGGAGGGGGCCAGGGGGGCGGCGUGGUGGAGGCCGUGCCGGGGAGGUUCGACGCGUUCGACGUGGUGUUCGUGUGCUACUUCCCCGGGAUGGGGGUCUCGGCGGCGGCGCUGCUUAGGUCGCUCGCGAAAAGGUGCUGCAAAGGUGCAAGAGUUGUCAUCUUCUUGGAUCAAGGUAGGCAAAGCCUGGCGCAACACCGCAGGGAGAAUCCGGACCUUGUGUUCGCCGACUUGCCCAGCAGAUCUUCUCUGGAGAAGGCUGCAGAUGGGAGCAAGUUUGAAAUGGCAGAGUUCGUUGACGAGUCGGCGCUGUACCUUGCUGUUCUGCUGUUCCAAGGGUGA